CUGCAGACACUUAGUUGCUGAGGCGCUGGGAUCCUGUUCUGAGUCUUGAGGUUCUAAAAUUCAAAUCCUUUCAGUUACCUCCUGCUGCCUGCAUAUCGUGAUCACCCCAGCAAGUGGGCUUUGAAAGGGGAAGGAUGCCUGCAAUCUGGGCCAGAAAAAAAUUGCCAGGAGAGAAGCAUUGCUGCGGCUGAUUCAAGCGACUGACAGUUCCAUCAACGAACUUGUAAAACUCCUGACUCUUUAACCAGCGGCGUCCAGCCCACUCCUGGAUCGCCUUUCAGAUUGGACGGCAGGCUGCCACGCUGGUUACGACAAUUGCAAGAGCACCCUGGGCGUCCUUGGCCCUGCUGCUGCCCGAGUGCUACUUGACGAGCCCCGUCUGUGCAAUGGGUCUGGCCGGGCUGGGCUUCCUGGUCUCCAGCUCUGAGCUCUGCGCCUGUGGGAGGCCGAGACCCCAGCAUACAGCAGCUGGCAUCCUCCUGGCAGGACCCACUGGCAGUAGAAACUCGAGAAGGGAGCCAGCCCUGAGUGAGCCCCAUGGGCAGGGAUGCUGAGUGAGUAAGGCCAGCCAUCUGGCUGAGUGGCCUGUGAAUCUGUCUUUACUCCUUUCAUGCUGUGUGUUCCUGGGCAAGUUGCUUAACUGCUCUGAGCUUUAAUUCCCUCCUUUGUUAGGUGGCUGAUGUAGCUACUUCCCAUGGUCAUUGUAAGACCUUAAUAGGCUCUUAAAGUGCCUGGCAGUGGGUCAAUUUUUAAAAAUAUCAAUUUAUUGACCAAAUAUGUAUCAUUGUAACACUUGCUGGUUGGAACUCAGACCUGCAGCCUCUGUUUUUUUUUUUUUUUUUUUUUUUUUGCGGGCCCCACCUUGAGAAGGCAGGAGAAAUAGCCAGAGACCUACAGGUUUGGUUCCUGAAUUUUUUUUUUUUUUUUUUUUUUGGUUUGUCCAGAAUAGUUAAGACUCUGAAAGAUUAGUGAAGGUGCUGUGGGUAUUUCCCACACUCAUAGAGGAAAGUGGAUUUUCAGUUGACACAAUGAAAAUAAUUGGUCAGAAUAAAUUAGAUGAGUUUUACUUAAAGUUAUACCA
rnacentral:lncRNA from 1 species